CUCUUUUCACAGUUGUUUUGCUUGUUGGUUCUUGUCGUUGUGAUGAUUGUGAAUGGUGGAUUUGAUAUUGUAAAUUGUAAUAAUAAUUAUUAUUUGAUGAUUGAAGUGCUAUUUAUUAGUUAUUUUAACCGAUUGAAGUGUGAAGCGACGACACAGUCGGCAGUCAACAGCAACGCAUCGAAUGCAACUUGGCAUCCUGUCAUGGACCACAGCUUUCAAUGACCUCAUCACUUGACAGGUUGAACGAUCAGUUGUUGGGGAUUAUAAGGGAGGGGGACUCUUGACUGUGGAAUGAAGAACUAGACUAGUUGCUAACAGUGAGCAGAAUGGGAGAGAACGAGGGAGAAGUUGAAGAUCAUCACUGCAUGUCUCCGGAACAUUCAAGCGAGCGAAGUGAGUUCUCACCACUUGAGACCUUCACUAUGUCGCCUCGCGAAGUGAGUUCUCAUCCCCUGUUGCAGUCUCCAUUCAUCUGGAUUGCGUGGAACGCGAGUUGGCGGCAGUCACAUUAACUCUGGCAUUCAAUCACAUUAUUUCCAUGUUAUCAAAUUAUUCGGCAUUUUAUGAUGUAGGCCUCAUCUUACGUUCAUCUUUUGAUUUUAUGUUUUAUUCAUCAGUAAUUAAAUCUCAUUUUCUGUUUUUAAAAUCAUGUAGUUUUUGUUUUCAUUUUAUGUUUUAUUCGUAAGUAAUAAACUAACAUUUUAUGUUUACUA
rnacentral:lncRNA from 1 species